rnacentral:SRP_RNA from 2 species
UGGUCAUUAUGCCGACCGGGUGCCUGCACUAAGUUGGGCAUCAGUGUGGUGACCUCCUGUGAGCGGGGGGUCACCAAGUUGCCUAAGGAUGGCUGAACUGGCCAAGGUCAGAAAGGGAGCAGGUCAGAACUCCCACAUCGACCAGUAGUGGGAAUGUGCCUGGGCGGAAUAGCA